rnacentral:rRNA from 1 species
UGAGGAAUAUUGGUCAAUGGGCGAGAGCCUGAACCAGCCAAAUCGCGUGAAGGAAGACUGCCUUAUGGGUUGUAAACUUCUUUUAUACAGGAAUAAAAAGGGGACGUGUCCCUUAUUGCAUGUACUGUAUGAAUAAGCAUCGGCUAACUCCGUGCCAGCAGCCGCGGUAAUACGGAGGAUGCGAGCGUUUAUCCGGAUUUAUUGGGUUUAAAGGGUGCGCAGGCGGGCUUUUAAGUCAGCGGUGAAAUCUCGGGCUUAACUCCGAAACUGCCGUUGAAACUGGGAGUCUUGAGUAUGGAUGAAGUAGGCGGAAUUCGUUGUGUAGCGGUGACAUGCUUAGAUAUAACGAGGAACUCCGAUUGCGUAGGCAGCUUACUAAGCCAUAACUGACGCUCAAGCA